rnacentral:hammerhead_ribozyme from 1 species
GUACUGUUGAAGAGCCCCAAACAGGACAAAACAGCUGUCCAGUAC